rnacentral:sRNA from 1 species
AGAAGAGGCGCCCGGAAAACCUUAGCUCUUGGCUAUCUCUUCCCUGAGCACACCCUGGCCUUGGGGCCUGAGAUCUCUCCAUGCAGGGGCAACCAUGAGCUCCGGGGGCAGCAGCAAGGCUGGCCACACCACCCGUCAGCCACCUCCAGCCCCGCCGCUCAACCAGCCAUCAGUCCCUUAACUGCCAGUGUUCGUGGACCAUGCAAAACAACCAAGCAAGGGACUCAUUAAGCCCAAAGCAAUUUUAGGGUGCCCAGUGGAGAGACUCACAGAGGCUGCUAGUGCCGAUGCUGCUGGUGCUGCUGCUGAGGAGUGCCCAGGACCAGGUGCCAGGGGAGUUGGAGUCAAUAACCACCACUGUCAGAUCUACUGACCCCCAAGCCAGUUUCUCCAGUCAGAUCUACCCAGCUAAAUGAGAAGCAGAACUGGGAAUCUUUUUUGCAAACAAAACUCUGGCCCAUUAAGAACUCUCUGCUGCCUUGUGAAG